rnacentral:lncRNA from 1 species
AGCAUUGGGACAGGCUUUGCCUGUAAGAGGGCUGGUCUGGGGGGACAUCUGAACCCAAUUCAGGAACACCUCACAGGUCUGCCAGCAGGGCUAGACCCGGGGUGAGAUCCAGGGCAACAGGGUCUGCCUGGGAAGCUCAGCUCCGGCACUGCCUGGGGCGUCUCUGCCUACACAGGACCAUUCCUCUCGCCUGGACUCCUCUUGGAGUUUGCCAAGGCUGGCCUCUGCAGAAAUAGGAGACUCCUGGAGGAAGACAGUGGACUUCAGCAAGCUGCACCAAGGAGAAUCCACAGCGGCAGCUGCCCUGCCAGGCGCGGGAUCUCGGUCAAGGUGGAUCAACACAGCCUCAGGUGUGUGCUCUGCCCCACUGAGAUGGCAAGUGCAUUCUUUUCUAUUCCUACGAGGAAAGAGCAUCCGAAAGAGCCUGCCUUCACAUAGGAUGAAUAACAGUGGACCUUGGCUUUGCCUCAGUGUUAUGUGCUAAUAAACCAUGUAUUCUAUGCCCUAAGGAAGCCCAGAGAGAACUGGACAAGCUGGAUAUCCCAAAGAGCAUGGCACUGGCCCACCACAUUGAUUACAUUGCGCUGGCCGGGUGCUAACCAAGAAGCAGCUAACACACUGGGAGUCUUGGUAAGAUGCCUGAGUGCCUGCAGCUGGCAGACAAAUCCUACAAAGAUUCUGGGAACUGCCACUAAUAACACUCUUGGUGGGGAGGUCCCAUAUCCCAUAACCAGGAGCAUACUGGGCCUCCUGUCCACAGCAAAGAGCCAAUUACUGCAUCUUGCAUCUCCCAUGACCAAGAGAGACAGACAAUGCCAGUACGCCUUCUGGAGGCAGCACGUUCCACACACAUGAAGACUACUCCAGCCUAUGUACCAUUGAUAGGAGAAGCUGUCGGCCUUCCCUGAGCCUGCAGCAGGUCGAGGCUGCAGUGCUGGCAGCCCUGUGACUCAGGCCCUGCAGCUGGUCGGACCCUGUGUUAUGAGAGGUAUCAGACGUGGGAAAGCAAUGCUGUGUGUUUAUGGCAAACCACUAUGCCAGAAUCACAGUGCAGGCCCCUGGGAUUCAGAAACAAAGCCGUGCCAUCUGCGGCAGAGGAUUCUGCGAAAAAUUCUGAAAAGUCCCUGUUGAUGUGCUCCUGGGGCCUGGGGUGAUGGAAUACCUGAUUGUGCAUGUGGAACUGCUCAGAUGAGCUGGAUUCUGUCUCACCCCUGGGUCAUGAGGUUGGGGACUCAGAAAUAACCCAUCACAGGUGGGAGUGUGCGUGUGGCAGCAGCAGAAGCAGGAGCAGGAGGCCAAGCAGCGGCAGCUGCCCAGUACCCCCCCCCACCCUCCACAGCAGUCCCCACAGCCCCAGUGGAGGAACCUUCUGGUGAACUGAGGAGGGAGGGACAAGCCCGGCCUCAGUUCAUGGAGGUGUCUGCUCUGCCUGUGGGGCCAGCCCAAAUCGCCUGGCUGCCAUACUCCAGUCUCAGCAAGCUGCCCUUUAAAGAGGGUGAUAUGGUUUGGCUCUGUGUCCCCACCCAAAUCUCAUCUUGAACUGUAAUCCCCAGGUGAUGAGGGUGAGACCUGAUGGGAAGUGAUUGGAUCAUGGGGGCUGUUUUCCCCAUGCUGUUCUCGUGAUAGUGAAGGAGUUCUCAUGAGAUCUGAUGGUUUUAUAAGUGUCUGGCAAUUCCCCUGCUUGCACUUGUCUUUCUCACCCACCACCACGUAAGACGUGCCUGCUUCCCCUUCCGCCAUGAUUGUAAGUUUCCUGAGGCGUCCCCAGCCAUGCAGAACUGUGAG